rnacentral:piRNA from 1 species
AACACGUUGAUCCUAAGCAUACCACGGU